UACGUAGGGUGCGAGCGUUGUCCGGAAUUAUUGGGCGUAAAGAGCUUGUAGGUGGUUUGUCGCGUCUGCUGUGAAAAUCCGAGGCUCAACCUCGGACUUGCAGUGGGUACGGGCAGACUAGAGUGUGGUAGGGGAGACUGGAAUUCCUGGUGUAGCGGUGAAAUGCGCAGAUAUCAGGAGGAACACCGAUGGCGAAAGGCAGGUCUCUGGGCCACUACUGACGCUGG
rnacentral:rRNA from 1 species